UGAAACCGUGUGCUUACAAGUAGUCAGAGCCCGUUAAUGGGUGAUGGCGUGCCUUUUGUAGAAUGAACCGGCGAGUUACGAUUUGAUGCAAGGUUAAGCAGUAAAUGUGGAGCCGUAGCGAAAGCGAGUCUGAAUAGGGCGUUUAGUAUUUGGUCGUAGACCCGAAACCAGGUGAUCUACCCUUGGUCAGGUUGAAGUUCAGGUAACACUGAAUGGAGGACCGAACCGACUUACGUUGAAAAGUGAGCGGAUGAACUGAGGGUAGCGGAGAAAUUCCAAUCGAACCUGGAGAUAGCUGGUUCUCUCCGAAAUAGCUUUAGGGCUAGCCUCAAGUGAUGAUUAUUGGAGGUAGAGCACUGUUUGGACGAGGGGCCCCUCUCGGGUUACCGAAUUCAGACAAACUCCGAAUGCCAAUUAAUUUAACUUGGGAGUCAGAACAUGGGUGAUAAGGUCCGUGUUCGAAAGGGAAACAGCCCAGACCACCAGCUAAGGUCCCAAAAUAUAUGUUAAGUGGAAAAGGAUGUGGCGUUGCCCAGACAACUAGGAUGUUGGCUUAGAAGCAGCCAUCAUUUAAAGAGUGCGUAAUAGCUCACUAGUCGAGUGACACUGCGCCGAAAAUGUACCGGGGCUAAACAUAUUACCGAAGCUGUGGAUUGUCCUUUGGACAAUGGUAGGAGAGCGUUCUAAGGGCGUUGAAGCAUGAUCGUAAGGACAUGUGGAGCGCUUAGAAGUGAGAAUGCCGGUGUGAGUAGCGAAAGACGGGUGAGAAUCCCGUCCACCGAUUGACUAAGGUUUCCAGAGGAAGGCUCGUCCGCUCUGGGUUAGUCGGGUCCUAAGCUGAGGCCGACAGGCGUAGGCGAUGGAUAACAGGUUGAUAUUCCUGUACCACCUAUAAUCGUUUUAAUCGAUGGGGGGACGCAGUAGGAUAGGCGAAGCGUGCGAUUGGAUUGCACGUCUAAGCAGUAAGGCUGAGUAUUAGGCAAAUCCGGUACUCGUUAAGGCUGAGCUGUGAUGGGGAGAAGACAUUGUGUCUUCGAGUCGUU
rnacentral:rRNA from 1 species